CUUAGGGUCUGCCAGGCCCGGCUGGGGAGAAGGGCGAGACAGGUGACGUGGGCCCCAUGGGCCCCCCAGGACCACCAGGGCCGCGUGGCCCAGCCGGACCCUCCGGAGCCGAUGGACCCCAAGGUGGCCCUGGAGGCAUCGGCAACCUGGGCCCCCCUGGAGAGAAGGUAGGUGGAGGCAGGACGCCUGGGUUCUCUCCCAGCCCCGGGG